UUCAAGCGCAGCUACCAUGCAGUCGAGCGGAACAAGAGGUGCUUGCACCUCUGGCGUCGAGCGGCGGACGGGUGAGUAAUGCUUGGGAAUAUGCCUUAUGGUGGGGGACAACAGUUGGAAACGACUGCUAAUACCGCAUGAUGUCUACGGACCAAAGUGGGGGACCUUCGGGCCUCACGCCAUAAGAUUAGCCCAAGUGGGAUUAGCUAGUUGGUGAGGUAAUGGCUCACCAAGGCGACGAUCCCUAGCUGGUUUGAGAGGAUGAUCAGCCACACUGGGACUGAGACACGGCCCAGACUCCUACGGGAGGCAGCAGUGGGGAAUAUUGCACAAUGGGCGCAAGCCUGAUGCAGCCAUGCCGCGUGUGUGAAGAAGGCCUUCGGGUUGUAAAGCACUUUCAGUAAGGAGGAAAGGUUAAGUGUUAAUAGCACUUAGCUGUGACGUUACUUACAGAAGAAGCACCGGCUAACUCCGUGCCAGCAGCCGCGGUAAUACGGAGGGUGCGAGCGUUAAUCGGAAUUACUGGGCGUAAAGCGUACGCAGGCGGUUUGUUAAGCGAGAUGUGAAAGCCCCGGGCUCAACCUGGGAACUGCAUUUCGAACUGGCAAACUAGAGUGUGAUAGAGGGUGGUAGAAUUUCAGGUGUAGCGGUGAAAUGCGUAGAGAUCUGAAGGAAUACCGAUGGCGAACGCAGCCACCUGGGUCAACACUGACGCUCAUGUACGAAAGCGUGGGGAGCAAACAGGACUAGAUACCC
rnacentral:rRNA from 1 species